UAGAGAGUCUUCCACUUUAUUUUGCACAUGUGGGAGAGUUCUGUGGCUCUAGAAAAGAGGAGUACCUAUAACAAAUCUUACAGAGAAAACUGAGUUAUUUCAUCUGUAUUUGAGGUCUAAAAAGUUAAUAUGGACUUUUUAUUUCACAUACUCCACCCCAUUUCAAAGAAAAAUUAAUUCACUGAGUUCAACCUAGAAACAAAGAUCAUCUUUUCUCUUUCUUAAAAUGCUCCUUGGUCUAAAGGUCUAUAUUUAAAUGGUGGAAAUAAUCUGCUUUCCUGGUCUUCUUAGAGAGGGAAGAGUUGACUUUUGGGCAAGUUACCAAAUGACAAUAUUGGCGAAAAUUAUAGGAGCCUGAGCCUGGGAUAGAGGACACCCCAGCUCUCAUUCCUCAUUGGGGAAAAAUGCUUCACUAUAUAAAGAGGUACCUCUAGUUCAUUAUAACUUGGAAAUCAUAAGAGCGAUGUUUUCAUAGUCUCAGAGAUACAUUUAGAAACCCCAAAGGGUGGAGUUAUUAAUUCCAACAGAAAUACUUCAAACUUUUUUCUUUGCAAUUUGAGCUCGAUGUGGGCACGUUGGACUUGCUGGUCAGUUAUGGGAGCAGGAAAGAGGAUUAGGAAUGGAAAUACUGCAAGGGUGUCUUCAGAAUCCACAGGAAAAAACUGACCGAGAGGUUGAUGUCAGCCCAACCUUGGCUAGCUUCCACCAUGGUGAGCAAAACAUAGGAGACCAGAUGGCCACGCUAGCCCCCUGGGAAGCCUUCUGCUGG
rnacentral:lncRNA from 1 species